CUAAGGGUGGGUCUGUCCUUCGUGCGGGAGGGGUCGCGCGGCCGCAAAUCAGUGCCGUGAACGCUUCGGGUUCGGGUCUGCUCUCGCGCGAGUUGCAAGGGCGGUGAUCCGCGUGCGAUACACCAUCCGAUCGCUCGUGGGCCACCCGGUGCAUGGUCUCUUGGUGCGCGGUCGCCUCUUCUCGCCGACAACGAGCACGAUCGAAGGCGGAUGGAACGUGGCGCUUUCCUGCUUUCCUGAUUCCCCCGCUUCUGUCAGUAAUAGAGAAAGAGAGAGAGAGAUAGAGAGUGAGAAAGAGAGAGUGACGGAGAAACGCACACGAGCCCCCCCGGUACGUAGGUACCGCUCCGGUCGUUCAUGGCUGCGGCUCGGGGUGGGGGAAAACAAGCCCUGUAACGACGUAAGAUCCCAAAAGCUUUAUGCAGGAAUAUGUCAAGUUUAAAAAUCGUGUUGGUAAUGCACUUGCUUGCGCUACCCUUGAGAACAAUGGAUUCUGACCAAAGAAAUCAGCAGGUGCAUCAGCACUGAACAAAAAAAAGCAAAAAUAAAGUAAUCAAUGCCUGCUGCACUCACGCCAUCGACUCUGUACAAGACUUAAGAUUUAUUGAAGUAGUACGUGAGUAGCAGCUACUCACGCCACACUCUCAGCUGUACAUAUAAAUUUAAAUACAUAUAUAUAUAAUAUAUCGUCGUAUAUAUAUAUCUAUAUAUAUAUAUAUACACAUCAUAUAUAUACAUAUAUAUAUAUAUAUACAUACAUAUAUACAUAUAUAUGUAUUUAUUUUUUCGCACAUGGCAGCCAUGAAGCAUGGCAAGACGAGUCAAGACGACGUAUGUUACGUUGUCGCCAAAUAUGAUUACGGUGCACAGGGCGCCCAGGAACUAGAUUUACGUAAGAAUGAUCGUUAUCUAUUACUGGACGAUUCGAAACAUUGGUGGCGAGUGCAAAGUGCGAGGGGACAGGCGGGAUACGUGCCGAGCAACUAUGUUAAGAAGGAGAAGCCUUCGUUGUUCGACAGUAUUAAGAAGAAAGUUAAGAAGGGUUCCGGCUCUAAGACAUUGCCAUCCAGUAACUCGCCGUCUCGUGCGGUUGAGUCACCCAUCAUGGCGCGACGUCUACCGGCCGAUCCGAGCGAAGCGAUCGGCACCGCGGUUGUCAAGUAUAAUUAUCAGGCACAGCAAGCUGACGAGCUAUCCCUCGUGAAGGGCACUAGAAUUUUGAUACUCGAGAAGAGCAACGAUGGUUGGUGGCGAGGCCAAAGCGGCACCCAAGCUGGCUGGUUUCCGUCGAAUUACACCCAGGAGGAGGGCGAUGCCGACGACACGCUGCACACGUAUGCGAUGGCCGAGAAUGUACUCGAUAUCGUGGUGGCUCUUUAUUCGUUCUCGUCCAACAAUGAUCAGGAGUUAUCGUUCGAGAAAGGCGACCGUCUCGAGAUCCUCGAUCGUCCACCGGCGGAUCCGGAAUGGUACAAGGCGAGAAACAGCCAGGGCCAGGUCGGAUUGGUGCCGCGCAAUUAUCUUCAAGAGCUCAGCGAAUACUUGACGCAACCGUAUCGCGAACGCGGUAUGACGAGCAGUGAGAUAAGUCAAGGAGAUUCCCUCGAACGGAGGCCGGAUCCAGGUGAUCGGCCGCAUCUCGUCGGUAAACCCUGGUACUAUGGUAGUAUUACACGUUCGCAAUGCGAUACACUGCUCAAUCAACAUGGCCACGAUGGAGAUUUCCUAAUCAGGGAUAGCGAAACCAACAUGGGCGAUUAUUCGGUAUCCUUGAAAGCACCAGGACGUAAUAAGCACUUUAGGGUACACGUGGAAGGAGCGCUAUAUUGCAUCGGUCAAAGGAAAUUCCACACAUUAGACCAGCUUGUAGAUCAUUACCAGAGGGCGCCAAUUUACACCAAUAAGCAAGGUGAAAAGUUGUACUUGGUACGCCCAUUACCAAAAGGCAAUGCCAGUAGCAACGGUUGCUAGAUGAAUUCGUGCCAUGAAGAAGAAGAAGAAGACAGUCCAUGCGCUUUCAGAUGUAUCGCUAAGAUACGCGACGCCUGCCUAGUAAUAUCAAUAUCAUCAUACACAUCUCUGAAUCUUUUACACACACAUUCUCCUCGGAGCUUCCAGACUACUCAGCAAACGAACAAGGAAACAUAAAUAUGGCAACUAUGUGAAACUAAUUGACAACACAACAAGGCUUAUAUCUUUAUAUUCAUAUGUAAUUGUAAUACGCGAACCGACCAUGUUAUUACAAUUAAUAAUAUAUUACAACUGCAUAUAAUAUAGACUGCGCAAGUGUAAUGAUCAAGUAAUAAUUAAUUAUCAUGCAAUUAUGAAACGAUUAAGUCGAUCCUUACUCUAGAUCUAUCGGUAUUCAAUUAUAACAAAGACUAAGUGUUCAUUUGUGAUUUUGUAUUUAUUAGAAGUUUUUAAGUAAAUAAACUGUAUGUAAGUGUGCAUAAAAAAAGAGAUAGAAUAUAUCCUCGAUUUUACUUUCA
rnacentral:misc_RNA from 1 species